AUUGAACGCUGGCGGCAGGCCUAACACAUGCAAGUCGAACGGUAACAGGAAGCAGCUUGCUGCUUUGCUGACGAGUGGCGGACGGGUGAGUAAUGUCUGGGAAACUGCCCGAUGGAGGGGGAUAACUACUGGAAACGGUAGCUAAUACCGCAUAACGUCGCAAGACCAAAGAGGGGGACCUUAGGGCCUCUUGCCAUCGGAUGUGCCCAGAUGGGAUUAGCUAGUAGGUGGGGUAACGGCUCACCUAGGCGACGAUCCCUAGCUGGUCUGAGAGGAUGGCCAGCCACACUGGAACUGAGACACGGUCCAGACUCCUACGGGAGGCAGCAGUGGGGAAUAUUGCACAAUGGGCGCAAGCCUGAUGCAGCCAUGCCGCGUGUAUGAAGAAGGCCUUCGGGUUGUAAAGUACUUUCAGCGGGGAGGAAGGGAGUAAAGUUAAUACCUUUGCUCAUUGACGUUACCCGCAGAAGAAGCACCGGCGAACUCCGU
rnacentral:rRNA from 1 species